rnacentral:rRNA from 1 species
AUUGAACGCUGGCGGCAUGCCUUACACAUGCAAGUCGAACGGCAGCACGGAGCAAUCCUGGUGGCGAGUGGCGAACGGGUGAGUAAUAUAUCGGAACGUGCCCAGUCGUGGGGGAUAACGUAGCGAAAGCUACGCUAAUACCGCAUACGAUCUAUGGAUGAAAGCGGGGAUCGCAAGACCUCGCGCGAUUGGAGCGGCCGAUAUCAGAUUAGGUAGUUGGUGAGGUAAAGGCUCACCAAGCCGACGAUCUGUAGCUGGUCUGAGAGGACGACCAGCCACACUGGGACUGAGACACGGCCCAGACUCCUACGGGAGGCAGCAGUGGGAAUUUGGACAAUGGGCGCAAGCCUGAUCCAGCAAUGCCGCGUGCAGGAUGAAGGCCUUCGGGUUGUAAACUGCUUUGUACGGAACGAAACGGUGAGCUCUAAUACAGUUUGCUAAUGACGGUACCGUAAGAAUAAGCACCGGCUAACUACGUG